rnacentral:rRNA from 1 species
AGCGAGCGGAACUAACAGAUUACUCGGUUAAUGACGUUAGGAAAGCGAGCGGCGGAUGGGUGAGUAACACGUGGGGAACCUGCCCCUAGUCUGGGGAUACCACUUGGAAACAGGUGCUAAUAACCGGAUAAGAAAGACAGAUCGCAUGAUCAGCUUUUAAAAGGACGGCGUAAGCUGUCGCUAUGGGAUGGCCCCGCGGUGCAUUAGCUAGUUGGUAAGGUAAAGGCUUACCAAGGCGAUGAUGCAUAGCCGAGUUGAGAGACUGAUCGGCCACAUUGGGACUGAGACACGGCCCAAACUCCUACGGGAGGCAGCAGUAGGGAAUCUUCCACAAUGGACGCAAGUCUGAUGGAGCAACGCCGCGUGAGUGAAGAAGGUUUUCGGAUCGUAAAGCUCUGUUGUUGGUGAAGAAGGAUAGAGGUAGUAACUGGCCUUUUAUUUUGACGGUAAUCAACCAGAAAGUCACGGCUAACUACGUGCC